rnacentral:rRNA from 1 species
UACGGAGGAUGCAAGCGUUAUCCGGAAUGAUUGGGCGUAAAGCGUCCGUAGGUGGCUAUGUAAGUCUGCUGUCAAAGCGUCUGGCUCAACCAGAUAAAGGCAGUGGAAACUACAUAGCUAGAGUAAGGUAGGGGUAGAGGGAAUUCCUGGUGUAGCGGUGAAAUGCGUAGAGAUCAGGAAGAACACCGGUGGCGAAAGCGCUCUGCUGGACCUUAACUGACACUGAGGGACGAAAGCGAGGGGAGCGAAUGGG